UACGGAGGGGGCUAGCGUUGUUCGGAAUUACUGGGCGUAAAGCGCACGUAGGCGGCUUUGUAAGUUAGAGGUGAAAGCCCGGGGCUCAACUCCGGAAUUGCCUUUAAGACUGCAUCGCUAGAAUUGUGGAGAGGUAAGUGGAAUUCCGAGUGUAGAGGUGAAAUUCGUAGAUAUUAGGAAGAACACCAGUGGCGAAGGCGGCUCACUGGAUCGGUACUGACGCUGAGGUGCGAAAGCGUGGGGAGCAAACAGG
rnacentral:rRNA from 1 species